UGCCGGGCAGCCGGCAAUGGGCUAAAUCCUGAUGAGAGGAAGUCCACUGUUCCUAAGGGAGACUGAGUGUAGAUGGCAGUGUCUUCUAGUGAUGACUCAGCUCCCAGGAGCCUGCGCAAAGUCUCUCCCUUUGUUAGAGUCCCAUGCUCGAUGUCCCUGUCCCUUUGCAGCCAACUUGCUCAGGAGAAGCCUCAGGAUCCCCAGCACUGUUCCCAUAGCCACCUCUCCCUGUUUCUCCCUUUCCACAUUCUCUUUUUUAACCUCAGGAAAAUUCCUGUCGAGUUGUGUUUUCUUCAGAACUGCUCUAUCUAGUUUAUUUGCUUUCUCCCCUCCUCAACCCUAUCCUCCAGUUCUUUUGUAGGAGAUCUGGAAGGCUUGUGAAACCCAGAACCUAGUCAUUGACCACUUACAAACCUUGUUUCUCUCUUCUCAAGGGGACAGGAGGAUGUGAUCUUCAAAAUUUCUCAGGAGAUGAUUAUUUUUCUUGUUUGGGCUUGAACAGAGAAAAGCAUCAGCAAGGCUCUUGUUGAAAAAUUCAUCUUUUUGCUGGUGGCAAGAGCCACACUGGAAGCAGGAAUAAGGACAGCUGCAUCUGUUGUUUAGAUCACCGUGGAGACAGCAACACUCCUUUCCCAGUCCGUGUUUUCUUUUCCUGCCCUUUGAGCAACCCUCCACAACUGAGAUCUCCUCAUGAGCAACAGCCUCCUACCUGGAGAGAAGCACAUGGCACUGUCCAGAUUUCCUGUCAUUGGCUUCAAGCUCUUGAUGGCAUUCCUGACUCGGAUCAGUUACUCAUCACCAAGACAACUGUGUCCAGGAUCCAGGUCAACCCCAAUAUUCAAGAGACUGAGCAAGCAGAUGCUUAGAGUCAAGGAGGAGCAGCAACCCUAUCAGAAAAGCAGGGGGGGGGGGGACAGUUCAGUUUUAAUAAAUUUACCUGUAACUUUGCAAUUACAAAGUCUAGAGAAAAAUUUCUUUUAAUCCAGCCUGUACAUAAAGGUAAUGCCAUUUUGAAAAAUAAAUUUUCUUUUGACUACCCUUUGAGGAGGAUUGGACCAUCACCAUUCAUUCUCUGAGUCUUCUGUGGCUCUGGCCUGGGCUCAGCUCAGAACCAGCCAAUUUUCCCCAGGAUCUGUCCUGCCUGGGCAGGCCAUAUAUCAGGAACUGGCCCUCACUGCCACUCCCCUCUGCUCCCAGCAUGUGCUCCUGUGACCAGCUGCCUCCUGCCUGAGUCUCUAGCUUGUUAUUUACUAGAUAUUUUUCCUAUUUUUCCCACACUGCAAUUAACAUCUAGAAAGGCAGAGAUCCCUAUGCAUAAAGCUUUGAACCAUCACCUGAAAAUACACCCAGCUGUUUCUAUACUGGAGUUUAAGAGCAUUUAGCUAAUUACCGUCCUCAGGAAGAGAAAG